rnacentral:sRNA from 5 species
GAUGAGAAGCUUCGACCAAGGUUCGAUUCGAGCGCAGCGAGAAAGCGUUGCCGCAGGCAACGACCCGAAGGGCGAAGCGCGCAGCGCUGAGUCAUCCUUCCCCCACCACCA